UUGGGAGAAAAUCAAUUAACGAGAAGAAGAUGAUAUGAAGAAGACGAGCGUCGCUGAGAUUGGGAGAAAAAAACUUUUGUCACCGUCAUCAACUCAUCAUUUGAUAGAUGGUUCCUUUGAUGAGCUAACAACGGAGAUUUCAACGAGAAGAAGAUGAUAUGCAACGUGUAACCUUCUCGACCCUUCUGGCAGAAAUCCAAUCUGCAGCAAAGCAAAUGUAUGCUUCUCGACCCUCCUUGCAGAAAUCUAAUUGAAGCAAAGCAAUUUACUCAAACGAGCUGUGGUGACGUAACGGAAGCCGCAUAGAGAAAGUGAAGAUCAACGCCAGGAGUUGCAGCAUCUGAAGCAGAAUAUUGUUACUCAGUACCAGGAACAGCUUAGAACUCUUAAGAACCUUGGCAAUGCUGAUCUUGUUGAAGAAGCCUCACUUGGAGAUGUAAAGAUUUUGAAGAUCAUUGGAAUCAAAGAUAUGGGGACAACAACUUCUGUUUUUGUCCGUGGUUCCAAUCAGCUUGUUCUUUAUGAAGCCGAGAGGAGUCUACACGAUGAUUUAUGUGUUGUCACGUGUAUGGUGAGCAAGAGGUUUUUGACUUCAGGAGGUGGUGCACCAGAUAUUGAGCUCUCAAGGCAGCUAGGUGCUUGGGCUAAGAUUCUCCAUGGAAUGGAAGGUUUUUGUGUGAAGUUUUUCGCUGAAGCUCUCUGGUUAUUUACUUAUUUCCUUACACGCUAGCUGGGAAUGCAGAUUCACUGUCUCGAAGAAAGGAGGAUGCAAUGAAUUUGAAAACGUGAAAGGAAUGGGGACAUGGAAUGAAUGACGGUGUUGCAUCUGGAUGUGUCUUAAAUCUCUGUGCUCUAGUAAAAGCUAUGCAUUCUUUGG